rnacentral:rRNA from 1 species
AUAUCAAUAAGCGGAGGAAAAGAAACCAACAGGGAUUGCCCUAGUAACGGCGAGUGAAGCGGCAACAGCUCAAAUUUGAAAGCUAGCCUUCGGGUUCGCAUUGUAAUUUGUAGAGGAUGAUUUGGGGAAGCCGCCUGUCUAAGUUCCUUGGAACAGGACGUCAUAGAGGGUGAGAAUCCCGUAUGUGACAGGAAAUGGCACCCUAUGUAAAUCUCCUUCGACGAGUCGAGUUGUUUGGGAAUGCAGCUCUAAAUGGGAGGUAAAUUUCUUCUAAAGCUAAAUAUUGGCGAGAGACCGAUAGCGCACAAGUAGAGUGAUCGAAAGAUGAAAAGCACUUUGGAAAGAGAGUUAAAAAGCACGUGAAAUUGUUGAAAGGGAAGCGCUUGCAAUCAGACUUGUUUAAACUGUUCGGCCGGUCUUCUGACCGGUUUACUCAGUUUGGACAGGCCAGCAUCAGUUUCGGCGGCCGGAUAAAGGCUCUGGGAAUGUGGCCUCCACUUCGGUGGAGGUGUUAUAGCCCAGGGUGUAAUACGGCCAGCCGGGACUGAGGUCCGCGCUUCGGCUAGGAUGCUGGCGUAAUGGUUGUAAGCGACCCGUCUUGAAACACGGACCAAGGAGUCUAACAUCUAUGCGAGUGUUCGGGUGUCAAACCCCUGCGCGUAAUGAAAGUGAACGGAGGUGGGAACCCGCAAGGGUGCACCAUCGACCGAUCCUGAUGUCUUCGGAUGGAUUUGAGUAAGAGCAUAGCUGUUGGGACCCGAAAGAUGGUGAACUAUGCCUGAAUAGGGUGAAGCCAGAGGAAACUCUGGUGGAGGCUCGCAGCGGUUCUGACGUGCAAAUCGAUCGUCAAAUUUGGGUAUAGGGGCGAAAGACUAAUCGA